ensembl:snoRNA
UGAUUGUUUCAAAGAAGGCUGAUGGGGCUGUGAAACCAGAAGCUCUUAACGCUGUGACCGAAGACUGAACUUCUCCGUAGGAUGCUGCGUCACUCAGCAGUGCUGUGUUUCCCUGAGGAGUUACAAAU